rnacentral:rRNA from 1 species
AGAGUUUGAUCCUGGCUCAGGAUGAACGCUAGCGGCAGGCCUAAUACAUGCAAGUCGAACGGUAACAUGAGUAGCAAUACUUGAUGACGAGUGGCGCACGGGUGCGUAACACGUAUGCAACCUACCUGAAACUUGGGAAUAGCCCUCCGAAAGGAGGAUUAAUACCCAGUAUUAUUGAGAGAAGGCAUCUUUUUUCAAUGAAAGUUCCGACGGUUUCAGAUGGGCAUGCGUCCGAUUAGCUAGUUGGCGGGGUAAAAGCCCACCAAGGCUACGAUCGGUAGGGGUCCUGAGAGGGUUAACCCCCACACUGGUACUGAGACACGGACCAGACUCCUACGGGAGGCAGCAGUAAGGAAUAUUGGACAAUGGUCGCAAGACUGAUCCAGCCAUGCCGCGUGAAGGAUGACGGCCCUAUGGGUUGUAAACUUCUUUUGAACGGGAGAAAACCCCCUUACGUGUAAGGGGCUGAUAGUACCGUUAGAAUAAGGAUCGGCUAACUCCGUGCCAGCAGCCGCGGUAAUACGGAGGAUCCAAGCGUUAUCCGGAUUUAUUGGGUUUAAAGGGUGCGUAGGUGGCCUAUUAAGUCAGUGGUGAAAUCCUACAGCUUAACUGUGGAAUUGCCAUUGAUACUGAUGGGCUUGAAUACGGGUGAAGUGGGCGGAAUAUGACAUGUAGCGGUGAAAUGCUUAGAUAUGUCAUAGAACACCGAUUGCGAAGGCAGCUCACUAAACUGUCAUUGACACUGAGGCACGAAAGCGUGGGUAGCAAACAGGAUUAGAUACCCUGGUAGUCC